AUACGGAGGGUGCAAGCGUUGUUCGGAAUCACUGGGCGUAAAGGGCGCGCAGGCGGUUUGGUAAGUCAGAUGUGAAAGCCCAUGGCUCAACCAUGGAAGUGCAUUUGAAACUGUCAGACUUGAGUACUAGAGGGGAAAGUGGAAUUCCCGGUGUAGAGGUGAAAUUCGUAGAUAUCGGGAAGAAUACCGGUGGCGAAGGCGACUUUCUGGCUAGAUACUGACGCUGAGGCGCGAAAGCGUGGGGAGCAAACAGGAUUAGAAACCCCGGUAGUCC
rnacentral:rRNA from 1 species